CCUACGGGUGGCAGCAGUGGGGAAUAUUGGGCAAUGGAGGCAACUCUGACCCAGCAAUGCCGCGUGCAGGAUGAAGGUUUUCUGAUUGUUAACUUCCUUCGCUACGGAUGAAGACUGACGGUACCUCGUAUGACAGCCCCGGCAAACUGAGUGCGAGCAGCCGCGCUAAUACGUAGGGGCCGAGCGUUGUCCGAAAUUACUGGGUGUAAGGGGAGCGUAGGCGGGUGGAGGAGUAGAAGGUGAAAUCUAUGGGUUCAACCCAUAGCUGCGUUCAAAACUGUUCUUCUUGAGUGAAGUAGAGGCAGGCGGAAUGCCUGGUGUAGCGGUGAAAUGCGUAGAGAGUAGAAGGAACACCAGUGGCGAAGGCAGCCUGCUGGGCUUUUACUGACGCUGAGGCACGAAAGCGUGGGUAGCAAACAGGAUUAGAUACCCUAGUAGUC
rnacentral:rRNA from 1 species